rnacentral:rRNA from 1 species
UACGUAGGGUGCAAGCGUUAAUCGGAAUUACUGGGCGUAAAGCGUGCGCAGGCGGUUAUGUAAGACAGAUGUGAAAUGCCCGGGCUUAACCUGGGAACUGCAUUUGUGACUGCAUGGCUAGAGUGUGUCAGAGGGGAGUAGAAUUCCACGUGUAGCAGUGAAAUGCGUAGAUAUGUGGAGGAAUACCGAUGGCGAAGGCAGCCCCCUGGGAUAACACUGACGCUCAUGCACGAAAGCGUGGGGAGCAAACAGG